rnacentral:rRNA from 1 species
CCUACGGGGGGCAGCAGUGGGGAAUAUUGGGCAAUGGGCGCAAGCCUGACCCAGCAACGCCGCGUGAAGGAAGAAGGCUUUCGGGUUGUAAACUUCUUUUAAGAGGGAAGAGCAGAAGACGGUACCUCUUUAAUAAGCCCCGGCUAACUACGUGCCAGCAGCCGCGGUAAUACGUAGGUGGCAAGCGUUAUCCGGAUUUACUGGGUGUAACGGGCAUGUAGCCGGGCUGACAAGUCAGAUGUGAAAUUUCGGGGCUCAACCGCGGACCUGCAUUUGAAACUGUUGGGCUUGAGUAUCGGAGAGGCAGGCGGAAUUCCUAGUGUAGCGGUGAAAUGCGUAGAUAUUAGGAGGAACACCAGUGGCGAAGGCGGCCUGCUGGACGACGACUGACGGUGAGGCGCGAAAGCGUGGGGAGCAAACAGGAUUAGAUACCCGUGUAGUC